rnacentral:misc_RNA from 1 species
GUUUUCUAAGGAAUAAAGCAGUGUUCUUCCGUAAAAAAACCAACAAAUUGUUACAGAAAGACAAGCUAACAAUCUAUAACAGGCGCCAAGCCCGUAUGAAAAACAAACCUUCUGUAUUUACCACUUAUUCUCUGGAAUGAACAAAUCAAUCAUAUACCACUAUUUCAACUUGUGAAUUACAGAAACUAUACUAUAGAAGGGGGCAAAAACAAAAACUAUAAGAAUCACAAGUAUGAUAUAACCAGCUCAACAACUUGCUUUUGGCAAAAACCUUGAAAAUCCAAUCACAAACUCAGGUUCAUCCCAAAACAGAAACUUAGACAUACUUCUGUUAUUCGCCUCCAAAGCAAACAACAAUCUCAGGAUAGAAAACAAUUCACAAGAACAAUUGACCUAUCUUACUUGGUAGAAACAUAGCAUUUGGAAAGAUGAACUACUGAAAACUGAAGCAUUGCCGAUGCUCCUAAAGAAUAAUCAACUAUCAUCAACAAAAAAUCAAACAUUCUCCAACAUAUAAUGAAGUUUUGGAACCCGCCGACGAAACAAUGGCUCCAGCCUGAAAGAUGGAAUACCAGUCUCCCACCUCUUAACAUCAUACAUCUCAUUCCACGCCUGUACAAUCUCAUCAAUUUUGAACCCCAAUCCUUCAAGAGCAGUUUCAUUGGAACAAUGGUUCUUUAUCAUAACAGCUAUAUCUGUAGGAGAAGCACCAGCAAGUUCAAACUUCUCAACUGCAACCUCUAAACAUUCUUCCCAAGUGGGUAGCUCUAGCUUAUAUUCCACAACAGAGCGCUCAUAAAGCAUGGUACCCCAUAAGAGGUAUAUUUGUGAACUCAUAUUUGCUGCCUGCUCUGCAGCUUCUUCGGCAGAUACAUCUUUCAAUAGCCCAUCCAACCCGAAUUUCUGCAACUGGGCUUUGUAUUUGUCAAAUUUGGAAAGCCCGUUUAGACGCUGCUCCUCCAUCUCUUCCCACAUCUGCAUACCUUUCUCCAUGCAGUCCUCAGCCUUGUUAUAAAGAUCCAGGACCUCCUCAGAGGGCCCAUUUUCUAAAUCCAGCUUGCUUCCAAUAGCGUGAUACCAACAAAGCUUCGCUUCAUCAAACUGCUGUUGCCCAAGUGCAAGAAGACCUUCAUAGAAGUCUGGUUUAAUUUUUAAAGCUUCUUGGUAUCUUGUUCCUGCCUUGUAAUAUUCUUUCUUUGCCCACUCAUAUGCAUUCUUAACCUGUGCAAGUAUAGACUCCCUCGAACCAUCUUCAGAAAAGAACACCCGUUUCCUUGCCUUGGACAUAUGAACACUUCCCCAAUUAAACAAAGCCAAAGCUGCCAUUUCUUGGAACUUAUCUGCAGCAAUAUCAAAAACUUCCUGUGCUUCUUCACUUGUCACAGUGUCCUCCAUUGCCUCUGAGUAUAAUUUCAUACCUAGUUCAUGAAGAUCCAAGUAUGAAUCAGAAUCAAAGCCAACAUGGUUCUUGAACAACCGUGCAAAUUGGAUAAUCCAAUCGUCUAUGGAAAUUGGUCCCUUUUCAACAUCUACACCUUUCCCAACAUUCCCAUUCUCAACAGCAUCACUUGGUUUCUUAUCAAUCUUGUGCAGCUCCUCUUCAACUCUCAUCCCCUCAUAAGCUGGUUCUUGAUCAGGCUCAACUUCAACAACAUAGAACCUAAGCGACCCUUGAGAAUCACUUGACGAUUCUACCAGCCUUAGCUCUUCUGUAGUAGUGAUUGUAAUCAAGUCUCCCUCUGAGUCCCUAUAUUUCAUAAGGACACCCUUCAAGCCAGGAUACCUAUCUCUGACUAUAUCCCUCAGCAGUCCAACACUACAAUUCACAGGCAACUGUGCCCACCUGAUAUCCUCCCCAAAGACUAACUUCACUGUCUUGGUAAUCACUUUCUCCUCUUUAACAUCCUUUGUAAGCACCUUCUCUUUUUCAAUAGUUUUCAUUGCCACCUCUUUGUCCUUGAUAACAGAACUCACCUUCUUCUCCUCCACAACUAUCUUAUCCUCGUCCUCUAUCUUCCUCUUCACCUCUUUAUCAUUCUUCUUCUUCUUUUUUACCUUCUCCUUCACCACCUUACGCAAACGGGCGGCACCACUCUGCUCUACAUUAGCCAAACUAAUUAAUUUCUCGUCAAAGUUAAUACCCUUCUCAGUCAUAGCCUUUUUAACGCUCUCCAAUAUCUCCAACGCCGUCAUAUUAUUGGGUUCCAUACUCAAAACAAUAUUAACAUCCCUCAAAGACAAAUCCAAUCUAUUCAAAGCCUCAUAACACCUAGCUCUUUUCAACAAAGCUUUGCUAUACUUGGGCGAAACCUCUAAAGCUAAAUUACACUCAUUGAUAGCUCGAGGAUACUCACCUAGACCCAUUUGCAUAUAGCAAGCGGCCAUGUUGCUUCGAAGAUAAGCGACGUCGAUGUGGUUUCUGGGAAGCAGCUUGACAGCUUUCUCGUACUUUAACAUGGCGCCUUCGUGGUCGCGCUUCUGAAAGAGUUUAUUCCCUUCUUCUUUGAGCUCUUGCGCCAUGUUGAUAAACAUUGCUGUGUCUUCAUCGAAGGCCUUCGAUGUCCGAUCCGUCGUGGGUUUACUCUGCUUACCAUUGGCGUCAACGGCUCUGGGUGAAUUCGGGUUCUUCUUUUUCCCAGUUGGCUUUCCCAUUUGAUAGAUUCUCAGAUAAUAUAGAGAGAAGAAACCCUUCAAAAUCAAAGCUUUAAGUACAAACCCCGAUUCUAAUUUCAAUCAAAACACUCUCUUUAACCAUCAAACAUCCAUCAAAACAGAAGGGAGGGGAAAAAAACUAACUUAUACAAAAUCAUAUAGCUAUAAUAAUUGAAAACAAAAGCCCAAAC